AGACAAUUAUUAGCGUAGAGCAAAAAUUUUAAUUUUUAUUAAAUACUUUAGCAAACUUAUGUAUUAAACGUGAAAUUAUAAAAGAACAAAAGACAAAUAAAUAAUGUAUACACUAUUAAAUGGUUUCUAUAAAUAUUUGACACAAAAAGAUGAAUAUUGCGUUGUAAUACUAGGUCUGGAUAAUGCUGGCAAAACGACCUAUUUAGAGGCAGCUAAAACAAAGUUUACCAAAAAUUAUAAAGGUAUGAAUCCGGCAAAAAUUACCACAACAGUGGGCUUAAAUAUUGGUACCAUUGACGUGCAAGGUGUUAAAUUGAAUUUUUGGGAUUUAGGCGGACAACAAGAAUUACAGUCGUUAUGGGAUAAAUAUUAUCAAGAAAGUCAUGCAGUUAUCUACGUUAUAGAUUCCAAUGAUAGAGAGCGUAUGGAAGAGUCAAAGGUUAUUUUUGAUAAAAUGAUAAAAAAUGAUUUAUUGUCGGGAGUUCCUUUGUUGAUUUUAGCUAACAAACAAGACUUACCCGAUGUUAUGGGCGUAAGAGAAAUUAAACCGGUAUUUCAACAAUCCGGAACACUAAUAGGCCGUCGGGAUUGUUUGACAAUACCAGUGUCGGCUUUAACGGGGUAAGUAUUCAUACCUACAUUUAUUUUUAUCAUGAAAUAAUAAGAACUCUUUCCUACUACACGAACAGUGAAGGUAUUGACGAAGGUAUUAAAUGGCUCGUAGAAGCCAUAAAACGCCAUUCAAUUGUAAGACCACCUCGUGUAAAUGACUGAUAGUUUCUUUCAAUCUCUUGAUAAACUCAACUCAGAUGUUAUAUUCUAUUUGUUUUUUUAUGUUCAUUGCUAAUAUUAAGUAUUACGAAUUUUAUAAUUUUCUAAAAAAAUAAAAAAAAUAAAAAAUUUAAGAUGUGUAAAACAUAAAGGGAAAGCCAUAGUCAGCGACAUACAAGUAAUGUUAAGAUUUGGUUGAUAAGACUGCUUUUUACCUUCCAUUAAUUGUGACUGCAAACCUGCAUGUGUUGUUAGUUCUCAUUAUUCUGUGAACCUUUCAAAGAUAAGCUAAAGGCGCCAGAAAAGAAGUGAAUAGUCAUUGGCAGCGAAAGUGUAAGAAAUAGUCUAAUAUUUUGUCAUUUCGAAUGAAAGAAAAUUGAAUCAUUUUAUUAUUUGACCUAAAAACGAUUUGAUAUAAAAAUUAUUUUCGACAACUUUAUUAAAGUUAUUAUGAUUACGUAUGAAUGUAUAAAGGCAUGUGUUUUACAAAGUUUUAUUGCUAUGGAAUAAAUUCAAAACAGAGAAAUAAAA